rnacentral:rRNA from 1 species
UACGUAGGGACCGAGCGUUGUCCGGAAUCAUUGGGCGUAAAGAGCGUGUAGGCGGCCGAUCAAGUUCCGCGUGAAAUCUCACGGCUCAACCGUGAGCAGCCGUGGAAAACUGGUCGGCUAGAGUGCGGGAGAGGAGAGUGGAAUUCCUGGUGUAGCGGUGAAAUGCGCAGAUAUCAGGAAGAACACCCGUGGCGAAGGCGGCUCUCUGGUCCAUUACUGACGCUGAGGUGCGAAAGCGUGGGGAGCAAACAGG